GAUGGACGCUGGCGGCGUGCCUAGUACAUGCAAGUCGAGCGAACGGACGAGAAGCUUGCUUCUCUGAUGUUAGCGGCGGACGGGUGAGUAACACGUGGAUAACCUACCUAUAAGACUGGGAUAACUUCGGGAAACCGGAGCUAAUACCGGAUAAUAUUUUGAACCGCAUGGUUCAAAAGUGAAAGACGGUCUUGCUGUCACUUAUAGAUGGAUCCGCGCUGCAUUAGCUAGUUGGUAAGGUAACGGCUUACCAAGGCAACGAUGCAUAGCCGACCUGAGAGGGUGAUCGGCCACACUGGAACUGAGACACGGUCCAGACUCCUACGGGAGGCAGCAGUAGGGAAUCUUCCGCAAUGGGCGAAAGCCUGACGGAGCAACGCCGCGUGAGUGAUGAAGGUCUUCGGAUCGUAAAACUCUGUUAUUAGGGAAGAACAUAUGUGUAAGUAACUGCGCACAUCUUGACGGUACCUAAUCAGAAAGCCACGGCUAACUACGUG
rnacentral:rRNA from 1 species